rnacentral:rRNA from 1 species
AGUGAACGCUGGCGGUAGGCCUAACACAUGCAAGUCGAACGGCAGCACAGUAAGAGCUUGCUCUUACGAGUGGCGAGUGGCGGCCGGGUGAGGAGUACAUCGGAAUCUACUUUUUCGUGGGGGAUAACGUAGGGAAACUUACGCUAAUACCGCAUACGACCUACGGGUGAAAGCAGGGGAUCUUCGGACCUUGCGCGAUUGAAUGAGCCGAUGUCGGAUUAGCUAGUUGGCGGGGUAGAGGCCCACCAAGGCGGCGAUCGGUAGGGCGUAUAAGGGGAUGAUCAGGCACACUGGAAGAGAGACAGGGCCCAGACUCCUACGGGAGGAAGCAGUGGGGAAUAUUGGGGAAUGGGGGAAUGCCGAAUCCAGCACUACCGGGGGAGUGAUGAUGGACUUCGGGUUGGAAAGCCCUUUUGUUGGGAAAGAAAAGCAGCCGGUUAAUCCCCCGCGGUUAUGACGGUACCCAAAGAAUAAGCACCGGCUAACUUCGUG